UACGUAGGGGGCAAGCGUUGUCCGGAUUUAUUGGGCGUAAAGAGCGUGUAGGCGGCCAAGCAGGUCCGCUGUGAAAACUCGAGGCUCAACCUCGAGACGUCGGUGGAAACCGUUUGGCUAGAGUCCGGAAGAGGAGAGUGGAAUUCCCGGUGUAGCGGUGAAAUGCGUAGAUAUUGGGAGGAACACCAGUGGCGAAGGCGGCUCACUGGACCGGUACUGACGCUGAUGCGCGAAAGCGUGGGGAGCAAACGGG
rnacentral:rRNA from 1 species